rnacentral:rRNA from 1 species
GAUGAACGCUAGCGGCAGGCUUAAUACAUGCAAGUCAAGAGGGUAGCAAUACAACCGGCGCACGGGUGAGUAACGCGUACACAACAUACCAUAUACUGGGGUAUAGCUUCGGGAAACUGGAGAUAAUCCCCCAUAACAUUGCGAGAGGGCAUCUGAUUGCAAUUAAAGUUUCGACGGUAUAUGAUUGGUGUGCGUUUGAUUAGCUUGUUGGUAGGGUAACGGCCUACCAAGGCGACGAUCAAUAGCUGGCGUGAGAGCGCGACCAGCCACACUGGAACUGAGACACGGUCCAGACUCCUACGGGAGGCAGCAGUAGGGAAUAUUGGACAAUGGGCGAAAGCCUGAUCCAGCCAUGCCGCGUGAUAGAUGAAGGCCCUCUGGGUUGUAAAUAUCUUUUAUCUGGGAAGAAACACUUCUAUUCUUAGAAGCUUGACGGUACCAGAGGAAUAAGCACCGGCUAACUCCGUGCCAGCAGCCG